UGAGCAGUGCAUGUGUGGGUGCAUUUAGCUAUAUAUAUAUAUAUGGUAGCCUAAGUGAUGAUACAGACAAGGAAAGAAUGAGGAAAAAAUUAGAGAAAAUAGAGGAGACAUCCAACAGAGAGUUUAAGGAUACAGAGAAAGGGCCGAGACCUAGAGAUUGAGCCAAGACAGAGAGGGCCAAAGUUGAUGCUCGGAUGAAUUAAUUCUUUUACAGUUUUCAGGUACCGAGGAUGAACUUGGAUUCAUAGUAGCGGGCUUAAGUGGAAGUGGAAGAGUUGGUUUUGAGGAAUUAAUUUUAUUAUUUAGAGAAUUUGUAUAUUCAUUUUUGAGGAAUUGAUUUAGUCAAUAAAGGUUAUUUUAUUUCUUUUGA